rnacentral:rRNA from 1 species
AUUGAACGCUGGCGGCAGGCCUAACACAUGCAAGUCGAGCGGAUGAGAGGAGCUUGCUCCUGGAUUCAGCGGCGGACGGGUGAGUAAUGCCUAGGAAUCUGCCUGGUAGUGGGGACAACGUUUCGAAAGGAACGCUAAUACCGCAUACGUCCUACGGGAGAAAGCAGGGGACCUUCGGGCCUUGCGCUAUCAGAUGAGCCUAGGUCGGAUUAGCUAGUUGGUGAGGUAAUGGCUCACCAAGGCGACGAUCCGUAACUGGUCUGAGAGGAUGAUCAGUCACACUGGAACUGAGACACGGUCCAGACUCCUACGGGAGGCAGCAGUGGGGAAUAUUGGACAAUGGGCGAAAGCCUGAUCCAGCCAUGCCGCGUGUGUGAAGAAGGUCUUCGGAUUUGUAAAAGCACUUUAAGUUGGGAGGAAGGGUU